rnacentral:lncRNA from 1 species
UGUCGUUGUCAUCGUUGUUGUUGUUUUUGUUGUUGUUGUUGUUGUUGUCGUUGUCGUUGUCGUCGUCGUCGUCGUCGUUGUUGUUAUUGUUGUUGUUGUUGUUGUUGUUGUUUUUGUUGUUGUUGUUGUUGUUGAUGUUGAUGUUGUUGUUGUUGUCGAUGAUGAUGAUGAUGUUGCUAUUUUUGUUUUUCUUGUUGUUAUUGUUGUUGUUGUUUUGUUGUUCUUGCUCCUGUUGUUGUUGUUGUUGUUG